rnacentral:lncRNA from 1 species
GGGUGUGUGUCUGCGUACGAUCGCAGGAGAAGGGGAAAAAGGGGGUGUAAACCCUAACCACAAAAAAAUCAUCAAUUGAAAAGGAAAUCGCGGGUUGAUUGUGUGCAUGAACCAAGAAUGAUGAUCCCUUAAGCGUUUCUCACAUCAAGAACGUGUCAAGGAGAGGUCAAGCAUAGGAGGAUAACGGGUCAAGAUAAGGCAAGGUGACAAAUACACUUAUUGGAGUACUCGAGGUAAGUGAAUUUCGAUUCACUUUUUAGUAGGUUUAAUAGAUUUUAAUACUUUUGUUUACGAAACAUCAUGAAAGAACAUGUAAUAAUCAGAAGUACAAAGCCAAUAAUGCCUCAUUAUUGAAGAAGGUUGUAUUUAAGCCGAAAGUAAAUUGGUGGGUUUAAACGGGUCGAAUUUUAUGUGCAUAUGUUGCGUAAUGUAAUGAAAUUCGUUAUGGUUAAGACAUUGGGUAAGAAUUUUUAGUCAUUAUGUAAGGGGAACAUUUCCCGGACCAUUAGGAACAAGUUUUAUAUGAUUCGGUUGUCGGUUAGUGAAUGAACGGAUUGUUUCGUGUUAGUGUAGGAAAUUUUAUAAGUAUAUGUGUAUAGGAAUCCAAAUGGCACGUGGGUUGAAUCAUAGAUUGUCUAUACUAUGUAAAGUUGUGAAUGUGACAUUCCGGCAUAAACCUACAUGUAAAAGAAGCUUGUGUAUAUAUUCGUGAUUAAUUGAUUGUGCGUAGGAAGGAACAUUGGCAUGUAUGAAGGUAUGGGAUCGUUGGCUUCAUGAAGAAAUGGAGCUGGAUUUGGAUAAGAGUAUUUAA